CGGGAUCCAUUGGAAUGUUACAUUUUUACCACUUUUAAUAACUUCAUAGAUAAUACUUACUGGUAUGCCUUCUCCUUUAUAGCUGUUAUAGACUUUAUCGAGUGCUUGUAUAGCUGCUUGUGAAUCGGCAGGUGAUUGCUGCCUAACGAAUCAUUACCUACCUCCCAUACGUCUACUAAGGCAUGAAGAUUGGGUGUGGCGAAGGUCAGAUCUAUUGUAGAUGCUUGGUGGUGAAGGGUUGGUAAUGUUGUAUGGUUUUUAUUAUUUAAUAGUAUGAAUUUUGAUUCAUUAUACUCAUUGAAAAUUAUAUUACCUCUGUGAUUUGCUUUGCUCGAAUUCCAAUAAGGGUGAUGGGCAUUAAAAUCACCACAUAACAAAGUAUAACCUUCAUCUUGGUUAAAUAGUUCGUGCCAAAAACUAUUCCUAAUCUUAUUAUUUGUGCAGUAAAUAUUAUAAAUGAUAAUAGGUCUCUUGUAAUUAUUUACCUGUAUUGCUUGCAUUUGUGUAUAGUUAUCGUUGUAUUCUGUAACAACAUUAUAUGAAAUUGACUUAUGUAUAAUGAAGGAGGUUCCUCCAUAUCCAUCAGGUCUGUUAAGGUUAUGUACAAUGUAAUUAUUAUCUAAUAGGUUAUCAUUAUUUUGUAACCAAGAUUCUUGGAUAAUACCUAUGUGGAUCUCCUUUUUUGUAAAUAAAUGCAUGACCUCAGGCCAUUUAGGCUUAAGAGACCUUGCAUUCCACUGUACUAUGUUAAGUUUAUUUGUUACCAUUCUUAUUUACUAAUUUCGUUUGUUGAGAUAGGCCUAACUGUUUGUUACCUGGCGAUGUUCCAGGAGUAGAUUUUAUUUUGAUAUUUGGUGAAUUUAUUUUCUGUUGAACUGUUGUACCAGUCUUUAAAUAGCUUAGUAAGAUUUCAUCAACUUGUUUGAGAUUGGUGAUGUUUGUAGAGUUCAAUUUAUUUCUAAUUUCCUCAAUUUUUAUUUUCAGAAGUGAUGUGAGGUGGGACUUAUCCUGAACACUAAGUCUAUCAUCCUGAACUGGUUUGGUAGGCGGAUUGGUUUUAUCUACAAUAGGCCUACUUAUUUCUUUAGGUUUAUAUAAACUACUAUUUCUGAUGGGCCUACGAUAGCUAGUUCUACUAACCUUAAACUGUGAAGAAAACGGUUGCUGGCUGGAUGAACUUGGUUCUGAGACUGCAAGCAGUGGUGUAUACCUAUUACUUACAUUUAAUUGACUGAUAGGUGUUGAUGCCUGUGAGCUUGGUAGUGUUGGGUAGAUUUCAUCAUCAGUGAAGUCUAAUUGGGCGACCUGUGAAUAAGAUAGGCCUAGUAAUCGAGAUGGUUUACCUUGUUUUUUAUAAGUAAUAGGAAAAUACUGUGCUGCCACAUGAUAACCUUCUUUCAUGAGACUCAUCCGAUCUUUAAUAUUUUUUUGCCUUAUAUACUCUGGGCAAUAUUUAGAGUUACUGCUAUGUGAAUCACCGCAGUGAACACACUUGCGGGGAGCCUGACAAGGAUCUGUGUGGAAGGGUCCAGCACAGUCCCUACAUAUUCUAGGUUUAUUACAAGGUGAGUUCGCUACGUGUCCAUAGGCAAAACAACGAUAACAUUGUUUCACUCUGAUCAUGUAGGGGUCUACCUUCAUACGAACAUAAUUAAGGUACACAAAAUCUGGUAAUUUUUCAGCCUCGAAGGUUAUUUUAACAAAAUGAGUGUUAGUGAGUUGGUCAUUACCAUACACUCUACGUCUGAUCCUUUCAGCCUGAAUGAUUGGGUAUAUUGACGAUGCCUCAGAUAAAAUUUCUAAUUCACUUACCUCGGGCUCUGCAUAGACUACACCGAGAGUGUGUACUCUAAUUGAGGGUACAAAUACAUUAAAUUCUAACAGAUGUGGUGAAUUUACUAAAUUAUUGGCUGCUAUAUAGUUUUUACAAAUAACAGAUAUAUUCUUACCAGCUCGUGUAAUGUGGUCAAUGUCCAUAUGAUGUUUUUUAAGUAUUUUUCCUACUGUAAAUGGGUUUAUUUUGUUCUUUUUUUUAUCCUGUAUGAUUACCUCAAAAGGUCCUGAAUUUUCAGGUUUAUAGAGACGUUGUAUGUGAGGCUUUUUAAGUGGUGGAUUAAAAUCAUUGGUAGAUUGAAUUUGUUCUGAACAA